AUGGGUUCUCGGUGCUGGUCCUGCGGCGAGGACUCGGUGUCGCCGGACCCGGGCUCGGGCGCGCUCGUCUGCACCUCCUGCGGCCUCCAACACGACGCCGGCUCCUCCGAGUUCUACAACCCGACCGCCUUCACCGAGGACGGCCAGCUCGAUUUCCGCGCCUCCUCCCUCGUCCGCCACCUCUCCCAGACCCCCUACCGCGAGCUCAAGCUUGCCGCCGCCUCCAACGUCAUCACCUCCAUGGCCGUCCAACUCGGCCUCUCGCCCACCCGCGCCGAGGAGAUCCUCUCCAUGGCCAAAUCCGCCACCGCCGGGAACCUCGCCACCCCCGGCACCACCUUCCUCCCGGCCCUCGCCGCCGCCUGCUCCUUCCUCGUCGCGCGAUCUCAUCGCCUCCCGCUCUCCCUCGCCGAGGCCGCCGAGGCCGCGGCCUGCACCACGGUCGCGCUCGGUGACCUCGUAUCCCGCAUCGCCUCCCACCUCUCCCUUCCUCCCCUCCCUUCCUUCGACUACCAGGCCGCGCUCGAACGUGCCGUGCUCGGCUCGUACAAGCUCGCCACCGCUGCGGGUGAGGAGAAGACGAGAGCGAUUCUCUCCCAAGCCAGAUUUCUUCUCCGCUGCUCCUCCAAGUGGUCGCUCACCACCGGGCGGCACCCGCUCCCACUUCUCGCCGGCCUGAUUGCCUUCGCCGCAGAGCUGAACGGGGUCGCUGAGGUUUCUGUAGAAGACAUUGCUCAGGAGAUGUCCGCGGUCGUGCACACCAGCCGUCUCCGAUACAAGGAGCUCGUUAAAGCGCUGGUGCAUGUCGCGCAGAAGUUGCUUCCCUGGGGAGCCGACGUCAAUGCCAGAAACCUGCUCCUGAACGCCCCGAUGCUGCUCCAGCUCAUGGAGAUGCGGUCACAGUCCGACCCAUCGGAACUGUUUCUUGAGAGCUUCGCUCCGGACAUUGCCGGCAUUGUGCAGGUGUACUCAUCUGUUGAUGAGGACGAGUUCAAGUACCUUCAGAUUGUUCCCCUGGAUGUUGAUGAUUUGGAUUUCGAGAAUUCUGGGAAAGAGGGCAAGGAAUCAGGGGAUUUGAAGAUCUCAGAGGAUUGCCUGUCGGAUGCUUACCAGAAUGUCUUAAAGAGGCUCUCUAAGCUAAAGGAACUUGGGAAGGUUGGGAAAGUUGCUAGCAGGAGGAAGCAGCGGAGGAUAGGGCUGGAGCUGGAACCAUGGAUGGAUUCGCUGGAUGAUGAUUGGACCAAGCGCAUGCCGCUUGAGGAGAUAGCCGAUAUUGACAUUGGCUAUGAUGCACCUCCUCCGUCGUUUACUGCUGGAUUGGAGCAUCAGAAGCGGAGGAGAGCACGAAUUGAAGCUGCUAAGUGUCGAAUUGACGCAAUUAGGAAGGCUCCUGCUGCGCGUACUGCAAAUGCAAUUGAUUCACCGGCUGUUCAUGGAAAUGAAGAUGCUUGCCCACCACAAAAAAAUAGCAGGAAGAAGCUGGGUCGAAAGAGACGACAUGGUGAACAUCCUGCGGAGAUGUCAGACGCUCCUGACUCUGGGAAGAAGAAACGGAAAACAGACCCAUGUGAUGGUAUUGACUGGGAAGAUUGUGUUAUCGAACUCCUUUUAUUACAUGGUGCAAAUGAGGCAGAGAUUGAACAAGGCCAAUACAGAAGACUGUUGGAGUUGCAUGUCUUCAGUGCAAUAAGUGGAGACAGAUAA
rnacentral:rRNA from 1 species